CAAACAUCAAACUGCCAAAGACAGAAAAUUAUUUACUGAUGUACAUUAUUUGACAAACUAUUCAAAGGAAUGACCCCACUAUUUAUGCAGUUUUAAGCAGAGAAGGAGAGUCUCCAGGAACUAUACGAAUUAAUCAACUUGAGCAAUCAGCCUGUUUUACAGCCUCCUGCCUUGGAGACUACUUUUUCCAAAACUCUAUGUGGGAUGUGGUCACCUAGUUGGUUGGAACCAGCUCCUGACAGACCCCAGCAACUGACAGAUGAACCUGAGUGAACUUUCCUCAUUAUCAUGCUAAAGUCUCCAUCCCGAAAGGAACUAUAGCUUCAUUACCAGAACAUGCAACCUUUGUGCUGGCAUAAAGGCUCACUGCGUCUAAAGCAACUGGGACCCGUCCCGUACAUGUGAUGAUGCACACUCUCCUCUCUCCAUAGCGCCAUAAACUCUCUCAGGGAGACACUGCUUUGAGGAAUGCUUCCUUACUUGUGCUAAGUAAUAAAACUCCUAUUGAUUAAAAUUUACAUUCUUGUGGAUUCGUUUGUUACUGGACAAGUGAGUGAAUUCAUUUUUUUUCAGGUUAGUCAUCAAAAUAAACUUUG
rnacentral:lncRNA from 1 species